rnacentral:rRNA from 1 species
UGGGGAAUAUUGGACAAUGGGCGCAAGCCUGAUCCAGCCAUGCCGCGUGCGUGAUGAAGGCCUUCGGGUUGUAAAACGCUUUUGGCGGGGACGAUAAUGACGGUACCCGCAGAAUAAGUCACGGCUAACUUCGUGCCAGCAGCCGCGGUAAUACGAAGGUGGCGAACGAUGCUCGGAUUCACUGGGCGUAAAGGGAUUGUAGGCGGCUAUUUAAGUCAGAUGUGAAAUCCCGGGGCUUAACCCCGGAAUGGCAUUUGAAACUGAGUAGCUAGAGUAAGGUAGAGGAGAAUGGAAUUCCCAGUGUAGAGGUGAAAUUCGUAGAUAUUGGGAGGAACACCAGAAGCGAAGGCGAUUCUCUGGACCUUAACUGACGCUGAGGAUCGAAAGCGUGGGUAGCAAA